AGCAGCCGCGGUAAUUCCAGCUCCAAUAGCGUAUAUUAAAGUUGCUGCAGUUAAAAAGCUCGUAGUUGAAUUUCGGGACUAAUAUGUCGGUCGUGCCUCGGUACGUACUGGUUUAUUGGUUUCUCCUUUCUGAAGAACCAUGAUGUCAUUUAUUUGGUGUCGUGGGGAAUCAGGACUGUUACUUUGAAAAAAUUAGAGUGUUUAAAGCAGGCUCACGCUUGAAUACAUUAGCAUGGAAUAAUGAAAUAGGACGUUUGAUUCUAUUUUGUUGGUUUCUAGGAUCGACGUAAUGAUUAAUAGGGAUAGUUGGGGGCAUUAGUAUUCAAUUGUCAGAGGUGAAAUUCUUGGAUUUAUUGAAGACUAACUACUGCGAAAACAUUUGCCAAGGAUGUUUUCAUUAAUCAAGAACGAAAGUUAGGGGAUCGAAGACGAUCAGAUACCGUCGUAGUCUUAACCAUAAACUAUGCCGACUAGGGAUCGGAUGAUGUUAAUUUUUUAAUGACUCAUUCGGCGCCUUACG
rnacentral:rRNA from 1 species